rnacentral:ncRNA from 2 species
CCGGCAGGCCGUGACUGGCGCGCUGGGAUGGGACGGACCAUCGGGGAGCGGCCUGUGAAUGACCGAGUGCCGUGCGCCUGGGCCGAACCG